rnacentral:rRNA from 1 species
GAUGAACGCUGGCGGCGUGCCUAACACAUGCAAGUCGAGCGAUUCUCUUCGGAGAAGAGCGGCGGACGGGUGAGUAACGCGUGGGUAACCUGCCCUGUACACACGGAUAACAUACCGAAAGGUAUGCUAAUACGAGAUGAUAUAUAAAAGUUGCAUGACUUUCAUAUCAAAGCUUUUGCGGUACAGGAUGGACCCGCGUCUGAUUAGCUAGUUGGUAAGGUAACGGCUUACCAAGGCGACGAUCAGUAGCCGACCUGAGAGGGUGAUCGGCCACACUGGAACUGAGACACGGUCCAGACUCCUACGGGAGGCAGCAGUGGGGAAUAUUGCACAAUGGGCGAAAGCCUGAUGCAGCAACGCCGCGUGAGCGAUGAAGGCCUUCGGGUCGUAAAGCUCUGUCCUCAAGGAAGAUAAUGACGGUACUUGAGGAGGAAGCCCCGGCUAACUACGUGCCAGCAGCCGCCGUAAUAC